CGUCCCUGCGUGGUGACGGGACCCUCCGCCUGGGGCCCUUGACCUUCAGGGGUUAAGGGCUAACUCGGGCCCAGCUCCGCUGACCCGCACGCUGACCCGGGGGCCCCAUUGUCGGGUGGAACGGCAGCGCCCCCAAGUUCCGCCCGCUGCCCGGCAACCUGUCUGCUCUCGUCCCUAGCAGUUGGAGGCACUCGUGCCCUCUGUGAGCGGCUCUGCCGUCUCGCACUGCCCACCUCGACGCGAGUGUCGAGUUCGUGGAGGAGGCGCAGCUCGCGCCCGCGACUGGUCAGUCAGACAUGAAGGAAGACCCAGAGACCCUGCUGGCCCUGGAAAGAGCAAAAAUAAUUGCCCAGUAUGAUCAGGGACGCCAGGCAGGGGUUCCAGUGGAUCCGCAGGAAGACCCCGAGCUCCCCCUUUCCAAGGUCACCGACCGCCUCGGUUUCCUGCAGUGAGUCACCUGGACGCCCGCUCUUUUCAUCUCAGGGAUGGUUUCUGUUGGUGGAAACCCCUCUCUGGAGGCAGGACCCGUCUCCCCAGCUCAGAGCCUCGU